rnacentral:rRNA from 1 species
GGCGUAAAGCGUGCGUAGGUGGUUCGUUAAGUCAGAUGUGAAAGCCCUGGGCUCAACCUGGGAACGGCAUUUGAUACUGGGUAGCUAGAGUUUGGUAGAGGGGAGUGGAAUUUCAGGUGUAGCGGUGAAAUGCGUAGAUAUCUGAAGGAACACCAGUGGCGAAGGCGACUCCCUGGACUAGAACUGACGCUGAGGUACGAAAGCGUGGGUAGCAAACAGGAUUAGAUACCCUGGUAGUCCACGCCGUAAACGAUGUCAGCUAGCCGUUGGUCCUAUUUACAGGAUUAGUGGCGCAGCUAACGCAUUAGAGUUGACCGCCUGGGGAGUACGGCCGCGAGGUUAACACUCAGAUGAAUUGACGGGGGCCCGCACAAUCGGUGGAGCAUGCGGUUUAAUUCGAUGCAACGCGAAGAACCUUACCUACCCUUGACAUCCAGAGAAUCUGUUAGAGAUACUAGAGUGCCUUCGGGAGCUCUGAGACAGGUGCUGCAUGGCUGUCGUCAGCUCGUGUUGUGAAAUGUUGGGUUAAGUCCCGUAACGAGCGCAACCCUUAUCCUUAGUUGCCAGCGGGUAAUGCCGGGAACUCUAGGGAGAUUGCCGGUGAUAAACCGGAGGAAGGUGGGGACGACGUCAAGUCAUCAUGGCCCUUAUGGGUAGGGCUACACACGUGCUACAAUGGCCGGUACAGAGGGCUGCGAAACUGCGAAGUCAAGCAAAUCCCAGAAAGCCGGUCCUAGUCCGGAUUGGAGUCUGCAACUCGACUCCAUGAAGUCGGAAUCGCUAGUAAUC